rnacentral:rRNA from 1 species
AUUGAACGCUGGCGGCAUGCCUUACACAUGCAAGUCGAACGGCAGCACGGGUGCUUGCACCUGGUGGCGAGUGGCGAACGGGUGAGUAAUAUAUCGGAACGUACCUUAUUGUGGGGGAUAACGCAGCGAAAGCUGUGCUAAUACCGCAUAAUCCCUAAGGGGGAAAGCGGGGGACCGUAAGGCCUCGCGCAAUUAGAGCGGCCGAUACCUGAUUAGCUAGUUGGUGAGGUAAUGGCUCACCAAGGCAGCGAUCAGUAGCUGGUCUGAGAGGACGAUCAGCCACACCGGGACUGAGACACGGCCCAGACUCCUACGGGAGGCAGCAGUGGGGAAUUUUGGACAAUGGGGGCAACCCUGAUCCAGCAAUGCCGCGUGAGUGAAGAAGGCCUUCGGGUUGUAAAGCUCUUUUGUCAGGGAAGAAACAGCAGCUCUAACACAGUUUGCGAAUGACGGUACCUGAAGAAUAAGCACCGGCUAACUACGUGCCAGCCGCCGCAGUAA